rnacentral:rRNA from 1 species
AUACGACCGUACCGCAAACCGACACUGGUGCGCGAGAUGAGUAUUCUAAGGCGCUUGAGAGAACUCAGGAGAAGGAACUCGGCAAAUUGACACCGUAACUUCGGAAGAAGGUGUGCCCUAUUAGUGUGUAGUGAACAACGAAGCAUGAAUGGGUUGCAAAAAAUCGGUGGCUGCGACUGUUUAUUAAAAACACAGCACUCUGCAAACACGAAAGUGGACGUAUAGGGUGUGACGCCUGCCCGGUGCUGGAAGAUUAAAUGAUGGGGUGCAAGCUCUUGAUUGAAGUCCCAGUAAACGGCGGCCGUAACAAUAACGGUCCUAAGGUAGCGAAAUUCCUUGUCGGGUAAGUUCCGACCUGCACGAAUGGCGUAACGAUGGCCACACUGUCUCCUCCUGAGACUCAGCGAAGUUGAAAUGUUUGUGAUGAUGCAAUCUCCCCGCGGAAAGACGGAAAGACCCCAUGAACCUUUACUGUAGCUUUGUAUUGGACUUUGAACAGAUCUGUGUAGGAUAGGUGGGAGGCUUUGAAGCAGGGUCGCUAGAUCUUGUGGAGCCAACGUUGAAAUACCACCCUGGUGUGUUUGAGGUUCUAACCUAGGUCCAUUAUCUGGAUCGGGGACAGUGCAUGGUAGGCAGUUUGACUGGGGCGGUCUCCUCCCAAAGCGUAACGGAGGAGUUCGAAGGUACGCUAGUUACGGUCGGACAUCGUGACGAUAGUGCAAUGGCAUAAGCGUGCUUAACUGCGAGACUGACAAGUCGAGCAGAUGCGAAAGCAGGACAUAGUGAUCCGGUGGUUCUGUAUGGAAGGGCCAUCGCUCAACGGAUAAAAGGUACUCUGGGGAUAACAGGCUGAUACCGCCCAAGAGUUCAUAUCGACGGCGGUGUUUGGCACCUCGAUGUCGGCUCAUCUCAUCCUGGGGCUGUAGCCGGUCCCAAGGGUAUGGCUGUUCGCCAUUUAAAGAGGUACGUGAGCUGGGUUUAAAACGUCGUGAGACAGUUUGGUCCCUAUCUUCCGUGGGCGCUGCAGAUUUGAGGAAGCCUGCUCCUAGUACGAGAGGACCGGAGUGGACACACCUCUGGUGUAUCGGUUGUCACGCCAGUGGCAUUGCCGAGUAGCUAAGUGUGGAAGAGAUAACCGCUGAAAGCAUCUAAGCGGGAAACUCGUUUCAAGAUGAGAUCUGCCGGGGCCUUGAGCCCCCUAAAGAGUCGUUCAAGACCAGGACGUUGAUAGGCCAGGUGUGGAAGCGAA